GUGGGGAAUUUUGGACAAUGGGCGCAAGCCUGAUCCAGCAAUGCCGCGUGUGUGAAGAAGGCCUUCGGGUUGUAAAGCACUUUUGGCAGGAAAGAAAUAGUGCGUGCUAAUACCAUGCGCGAAUGACGGUACCUGCAGAAUAAGCACCGGCUAACUACGUGCCAGCAGCCGCGGUAAGACGUAGGGUGCAAGCGUUAAUCGGAAUUACUGGGCGUAAAGCGUGCGCAGGCGGUUUUGUAAGACAGGUGUGAAAUCCCCGGGCUCAACCUGGGAACUGCACUUGUGACUGCAAGGCUAGAGUGUGUCAGGGGGAGGUGGAAUUCCGCGUGUAGCAGUGAAAUGCGUAGAGAUGCGGAGGAACACCGAUGGCGAAGGCAGCCUCCUGGGAUAACACUGACGCUCAGGCACGAAAGCGUGGGGAGCAAACAGGAUUAGAUACCCGGGUAGUCC
rnacentral:rRNA from 1 species